rnacentral:rRNA from 1 species
CCUACGGGUGGCAGCAGUCGAGAAUCAUUCACAAUGGGGGAAACCCUGAUGGUGCGACGCCGCGUGGGGGAAUGAAGGUCUUCGGAUUGUAAACCCCUGUCAUGUGGGAGCAAAUUAAAAAGAUAGUACCACAAGAGGAAGAGACGGCUAACUCUGUGCCAGCAGCCGCGGUAAUACAGAGGUCUCAAGCGUUGUUCGGAAUCACUGGGCGUAAAGCGUGCGUAGGCUGUUUCGUAAGUCGUGUGUGAAGGGGGCGGGCUCAACCCGCGGACGGCACAUGAUACUGCGAGACUAGAGUAAUGGAGGGGGAACCGGAAUUCUCGGUGUAGCAGUGAAAUGCGUAGAUAUCGAGAGGAACACUCGUGGCGAAGGCGGGUUCCUGGACAUUAACUGACGCUGAGGCACGAAGGCCAGGGGAGCGAAAGGGAUUAGAUACCCGAGUAGUC